GCCGAAGUGGUGGAAUUGGUAGACACGUCGGUCUCAAAAACCGAUGAUGGCAACAUCAUGCCGGUUCGACUCCGGCCUUCGGCA
rnacentral:tRNA from 2 species